AUUGAACGCUGGCGGCAUGCCUUACACAUGCAAGUCGAGCGGAUGACGGGAGCUUGCUCCUUGAUUCAGCGGCGGACGGGUGAGUAAUGCCUAGGAAUCUGCCUGGUAGUGGGGGACAACGUUUCGAAAGGAACGCUAAUACCGCAUACGUCCUACGGGAGAAAGCAGGGGACCUUCGGGCCUUGCGCUAUCAGAUGAGCCUAGGUCGGAUUAGCUAGUAGGUGAGGUAAUGGCUCACCUAGGCGACGAUCCGUAACUGGUCUGAGAGGAUGAUCAGUCACACUGGGACUGAGACACGGUCCAGACUCCUACGGGAGGCAGCAGUGGGGAAUAUUGGACAAUGGGCGAAAGCCUGAUCCAGCCAUGCCGCGUGUGUGAAGAAGGUCUUCGGAUUGUAAAGCACUUUAAGUUGGGAGGAAGGGCAGUAAGUUAAUACCUUGCUGUUUUGACGUUACCGACAGAAUAAGCACCGGCUAACUCUGUGCCAGCCGCCGCGGUAACAC
rnacentral:rRNA from 1 species